ACAAUAGUUCAUCACAUGGACACAUUCAGCAAAGAGACAACAUUUCCAGCAGGGUGGAGUGUAGAUAUAACAGUCUCUGGGAACCUUCUUUCUUGGCUCUUUGCCUAACCACCAGGCUCUCCACCCACCCCCUUCUUUCGAAGUUACCCCAAGUAUUCCAAGAAAUUGCUCAAUUCGAAGGGCGUUCAAAACUUUAAGUCAAAAUCUAGCUCCAUGUGACUUAGGUAUAAUCCACAAAAGGACAAAGCCGUCAGAAGAGUAACUCGUCUCUCGUGGGCUAUGCAAAAAAGAUGCUAAUGAGACAUUUAUAAUUGAGGCCACACAGGCAUAAAAGUCAGAAAAGCUUUAUUUAUGGCCUGUACAGCUGCUGC
rnacentral:lncRNA from 1 species